rnacentral:sRNA from 20 species
CAAUAGUCAUGAUGGUCAAAGCUCAUGGGAAUUGUGCGUUUUUGCGUACAGUUUUCUAGAGUUU